rnacentral:rRNA from 1 species
UUAUGCCUACGGGGCGCAGCAGUGGGGAAUAUUGGGCAAUGGGCGCAAGCCUGACCCAGCAACGCCGCGUGAAGGAAGAAGGCUUUCGGGUUGUAAACUUCUUUUAAGAGGGAAGAGAAGAAGACGGUACCUCUUGAAUAAGCCACGGCUAACUACGUGCCAGCAGCCGCGGUAAUACGUAGGUGGCAAGCGUUGUCCGGAUUUACUGGGUGUAAAGGGCGUGUAGGCGGGAGAGCAAGUCAGACGUGAAAUUCCAGGGCUCAACCCUGGAACUGCGUUUGAAACUGUUCUUCUUGAGUGAUGGA